ACCUCCGUGGCGCAGUUGUGUACGUGACGGCUUGUUGCGCGAUAGGUUUCGUGUUCGAUUCCCGGCAUGGGUG